GUGAGUCACUGGCCAGCAGUCCAGCUCGCUUCAGAAUCAAUCUCGUCGUCGUUCCGCGCGUCAGCAAGAAAUCUCAAGAGUUGGGUGAAGUCGGAGGCUAACAGCAUGGUAUUCACCAUGUGCGCGACAGGAAGCUCGAGCCAAGAUUUAUCCGCAUUCGUACGAGUAUUGGGUCGCGUUUGAUAGUACGUUAAUUAAUCGCGCGAUGCGGAAGACGACCCAAGUCGACCCCAAGCACGGGCUACUCCACAGGAUGAUGCUGAUGGACAAACCUGAAGAUGAUCGUCAAGCGGACGUCGUCUAACCAACACUAACAUAGUGUUUAUUCCAGGUUAUAGUUUUGUGCUGCUGUUGAUGGUGUUAAGUGCCGGUGGGCUCGGCCUUCUUAUAUAAGUAUACCCCGCCUUUAUCUUCUUAUUGAGGAUGGUCACUUGAGCUAGCAUAUAUUUCAAAACUAUAAAUAAUUUAUAACCGUUCAAAGUUUCUUUCUUUGAAUCAAUGUAGUAAUCACUCUGAUCAUGUACGAAGUAAAAUUUUUGUAAUUUGUAAAAUUUGGUAAUAAGAUUUCCGCUG
rnacentral:lncRNA from 7 species